CGCGGAGUAACUUCAGCGUCCCCUAGGGCCGCGUCUCCCGCCUGGGCCGGGGGCCGAAGCGGGGUCGGCUGUGAGGAAGGCGGCUGCUCUGCCUUAUCCAGUCUCGGCCCAACGACCCCUCUUUAUCCCCGUUAAAUAUGGAGAAAUGGCCUCCGGGAGGGAAGACGUGAAGCAGAGAAAGCUCUGGCUCUCCAGAUCCUCACUCCAAAGCUGCGGCGGGAGCUACCGUGACCUUCCCCCCCUCCUCGUUCACUUUCCCACAUGCCCCGAGGCGAAGUGUCUGACUGACGCCUGAGGAGACUGCAGUUCCUUGUCACUUGGUUCUUUCCAAAGGGUUGUUUGAAUGUCCCUAUGACAUGGCAUCUAGCUUCUCCACAGAACAAGUGAACCAAGAAAGAGGGGGAGAGGAUUUCACAAAGGUUUGGAUACUGGCAACAUGAUUCACUGGAAGCCGUUACUCCAACAGAGUACCACAAAGAGAAGUAUGGACACUAAGGCUGUGAAGAACAAUGAAAAGAUGCUAAAUGAAUGAGUUCUAGAUCGCAGUAGAAGAGUUGUUGGAAUGAGUCCAUUUAAAGCAGCAAGAUGGAAAAUUAGGAGGUGGUGGCUGGAGAGUGGAAUACUUGAUAUAAGGCCACCCAAUAUAUAGACAACUAUUCCACAUCUUGAACCUGAAGAGGAACUUUCUCUGAUUUAGGAAUCCAAGUCUUACAACAAGACUGAUGUUAAGUACAAUUUUGUCAACGUGAGUUGGCUACUCUCAUGUUAUCAUAGCAACGAGUCCAAUUCAGGGAACCUUACACAACACCAACUCCACAAAGUUCCUAGAGUGACUAAUUAUUUCUUGUUAGUUACUGCUUUAAGUACUGUAAUCAAGCACCAUGUGGGGUUUUGUGGGCACCUAACCUCACCACCAAAGUCUGUCCACACCUGCCCCAACUUCCCACAUGCAGUCAUACAACCUACCUCUUGGUGACCUUCUGGGAUCUACAGAUGCAAAUCCCAAUAAUGAAACAUGCCCUUUGGAGGAUGGGCCCAAGGAAGAAGUGUUGGAAGCCUGCGAGAUGGGCUUUGGAAUUAUUUGGUAAGAAAUUCCACUGUCCUGUACCCUGAGCAUGGUUGGGAGAUGGAGAGAGAGUACAGAACAAGCUGUCAAUGGGCAUAUGCCCUUGGCCCAGUAGACCUUUCAAUCUGAGGGGAGGGAACUAGCUGGAAAGGGAUGUAGACAGGUGCUUUCAAAAGGUGAAGACUGAAGCAUAAGAUUGGUUCUACUUCAGGCUAAUGUUCAGUAGAGCUUUAACAGUUCCAUUGACCACAGGCUUAAGAAUUAUUUUACGUAAGAUUAGCCUUAUCAGAGUGAGUUAUAAAAGAAGGAAGCUGAAUGGGGAAAGCCAAGUCACCAACCUGUCUCAGGACAAAGGGUAUAUCACAUGAGGUUUCUGACCUCAGAUAUUACUGAGCUUCUACUCUUGUCCCUCCAAAGCCAAAAGCACUUCUCAGCUAUUUCCCAAGAAAAACCACAUAUCCAAUAUGGGGGAGGCAAGGACAUGAGGAGAAUCUGAGCCAAGGGGCAGUGGGUGAGUCUCCAAGGUCUCCAUCUUGUUUUCCAUUCUUACCCCACUUUUGGAGCUCUUCCUCCUCUUCUCUAUCACCUCCUACAUGUGGCUAAUGCCCCUGGGAUAAAAGACUUCUCAGUUCACCAGUUUAUGCUCUUACUCUAUCCCUGUUCUCUCAAAGCAAUUCCUCACUAUCUUGUUAAGUCUUUGAUGCUAUUAAUAAAAUGUUUUCCAAAUUUUGUAGAGAUAUUUUAGUUUAUUUUACAAGAAAGUUGGGCUGAAUUAUAGUCAACUAUCACUGGAGGUAGAAAUCCCAAAAUGGCUUUCAGAACUUUGUUUUUUUGGCAAAUUGUGUUUCUGUAAAUGGACCCCAAGUAGAGUUUCAGGUUUCCUUUGACCAGCUUUGAAAAUGCAUUACUUAACAAACAUUUGUUUAACCAGCACUUCCUGAGUAUUGCAACUAUUUAAAGCACUAUAGUAAUCCUCAGAGAAGACAGAAAAUUGAAAAAGAUGCAAGCUGUGCCAUUAGGAUAAGGUAGAAGCAUGAGGGGGAGUCAGACAUGUGUGUAAAUAAUAAAGGAGUGAAGGAGGAAGGUGAAGUACCAAAAUGAACUGAGUCUGGAAGUAACAAGCCUUGAGAUUACAAAUUGGAACAGAAAUGUCAUGUUUUGUGAGGACUAUAAAUCAAAGGUCUCAAAAUGGUAGGCCACAGACUGAAUUCAGCCCACAAACGUGUUUGCUUUGGCCCACACAGUGUUUUAAAAAUAGGAGAUUUCCCAUUUUAAGAAAUCUGGAUUUCCAUCUUCUGAAAACUCAGAAGAUCUGGCAACUGUCCUCAUUGCCAACUGGCAGCCAUCAACUGGAGCUAGUAGAAGCUGCUUCCUUAGGGAGAGCUUAAUUUCUCCAAUUCACCACAUUUCCCAUCAGUCCUACACUGCCGGCCUUCACCCUCCGCAGGCUUCACUUUCUUCAUCUAAUGGAAAGUGCUGUACAAAUGCAGCUUCCAGCCCUUCUUCUUGGAAUCAGAGAACAGAUUUUAGGCUUUCAAAUCCACACCCCCUACACACACACACACACACACACACACACACUCAUAUGCACACAUUUAACCCUAUUUUGCUACAUAAAAACCGGAGAUAACAAGGCCUCACCACCACCCUCUUUCAGUCAUUUGUCUACUUUCUGUAGGUAUUUAAGAUGAUGACUUCUGUGUGUGUUGAUCUCGUC